UACUAUUCAAAAAAAAAAAUGGUGCUCUUAGGUCGUUUAAAAAAAAAUAAAAAUUAAUACUAUUAGAGUAUUAGGUCACAAUUUAGUAAUUUACAAACUUACAACACAGGAACAGCGUUAGCCACUUAGCCCCUUGCUUCACACAAGCGAGCUAGCCUAGUAGCCUUGUUCAACAAAGUGAGAAGAGUGAGGGAGAACGAAUGAAGCUUCACUCAAUGUCCACUUUCCAGAUGAGUUAGUCCUUUUCAAUUUAUAUUCUUUUUCUGCUGUUAAUCUUCUCCUUGAUUGUUACAAUUAGUGUUAAAUUUUGCAACAAUGUGGGAAAAUUUUCCAAAGGAUGUAUUGUCAGACAUUUGCUUGAGACUUCCCACGAAAACUCUUGUUAUAUGUGCUUGCACUUGCAAAACUCUGUUGAGUUUCAUCACUAGCCCUGAAUUUAUGGCUUCCCAUAACAAAAAAUCCAAAGAUAAACCCUUUACAUUGCUUAGGUACUAUAUAGAAGGAGAAAAAAGUUCCAAGGAGUAUUUUGCUUUACACCCAGAUAAUGGAUUUUCUGAAUCUAAUCUAAUGUUUCGAGAAUUGCCCGCCAAAUUUCGUCGUUGUAAUAGAUGCUUCAACUUUGUGGGUUCUUGUAAUGGGGUUAUUUGUUUGUCUGAUGACAUUUCGUCAUACACUAAUGUCAUAUAUCUGUGGAACCCUAGUAUAAGGAAAGCAGUAGAAGUCCCUUAUCCUAAUUUCACAUUUGGUCCAUGUGGUCCAUACGACAUGUGUGUUGGGUUUGGGUUCGAUGAGCUGACUAAUGAUUACAAGGUGGUUCGUCUUGUUUACCUUGAAAAUGGUUGGCAGCCAAAUCAGCUUCCCCCACUUGUUGAGGUUUACUCGGUUAAUUCUGGAUCAUGGAGAACCAUCACUGCUUCUCGUCCUAUGUACUAUGUUCGCCAUAUGUUCAUGUUUUCUCGUGAUCAAGAAAGUUAUUCACAAUGUUAUUUGAAUGGGUAUGUGCAUUGGCCCGGAUUCAUUAUCCAACCCAAGAAAGGUGCGCAUUCUCUGGAGGAAGUUUGGAGGGUUAUUGUGACUUUCAAUGUGCGAGAUGAAUUCUUUGGUGAAAUGAAGUUGCCGCCUUGUCUUGAGGGCUCUAGUAAUGGGUCAAUUAAAUUGAAGGUCACAGUUUGCUGCGAUAUGCUUUCACUAAUUCUAAUUUCAGAUGGGAAGUGUGACUUUUCCAUAUGGGUGAUGAAAGAGUAUGGCAACAUGGAUUCUUGGACUCAAUCUUUUAGGUUUAAUAAUCCAGCAGGAUACCCAGUGCCUAGGGCUUUGUACUUUCGGGAGAACGAGAAUCUUUUAAUCUUAGCAAGCGGUUGUUGCUAUAACUGGAGAAGUAAGAAUGCUCUCCGAGUGCUUUCUGUUGAUUGCGUUAGAGAUCAAAAGGAGGUACUAGAGACCCUUGAGGGGGAACUGAAAGGAUUAUAUUUGGGAUCAUACAGAGAAGGUCUGGCACUGUUCAAUGAGGGGAAAACUGUUCAGGAUGAUGAGGUAAAAGAUGAAGUUCGAGUAGAUGAAUUGAAUGCGGGUAGAAUUCUUUCAAAGAAUUUACCAUGUGGAUGUGACAUUGCUAAAGGUACCAUGUCUCUGACUAUUGUGGGCAUUUCUUUAGCAUAAUUGAUUUGGAUUUAGAUAUAACAGCAGUUUUUUUUUUUUUUGGCUAUGAUGGUAUGCUGUUUAGUUUGCAAAAGGCAGGCCACUUAUGUUACGUUGUGGCUGUGUCCUGUUCAGUCUGCAGUAGACAGGCCAGUUAUGUUACAUCAGUGUUGUUUACUCUUGAUAAAUAUGAGGUUCUUAAUUAGGUAUUGUAUACUUAUGGGAAACAGUAGGUCCUUAAUUCCUACUAAUAUGACCGUCGCUUUAUUUCUAGUGACCACUUUUUUGUUUGAGUAGAUUUUCUAGUGACCUCUUGAUGUAUUAUCAAUGUUCUUUUUUUCAAAAAAGAAAAAGAAAUCAGGUUAUAAGGAAGAAAGAUCCUCACUCACUGCACUCAUCUAUGGUAACUUGAUCAAUUAUGCAAGCCAGGCAUUUGGGACUAUGAAAUUUUAAGGAAAAACCUCCUCUCAAAUUCUCCUAGUGGGGUUUGAACUUGUUACUCCUAGUCAUCAAUGUCCUUUUCUUGUGGGAACACUUCUAUAAGGUAAUCAAUUAAACUUUCCGCUCCUAUUAUGAUAUCCCUCCGACAUGGAUAUAAUGAAGUAUAUUUGGGUUUUGUCUUGGCGUACUUACAACCAAUUACAAGGUGGUUACUAUUUUGACUUGUUCAUUUUGGAUUGCAAUAAUGAUUUGCCUAAGGUUUCCCCUGAAGUCAAUGUCUGGUUUCCUACAGUUAGCUCUGGCUUGUAGAAAUCAUUAUGACUUCUGUCUGUGUAUUGAACUCGCACAAUAUGAUAACUUAUAUAGUUAUAUGCGGUUGAUACUCUUGCAUGUCCUCUCACUUCUUCCUUUUCUCUUGAAGCAUUUCUAAUUUUCUAGGGUUCAAUGUUUUCAAGGUUCUGAUCCAUUUAAGAUAUUGUCAUGCUAUAUCAUAUAUUUAGUGAUUGAUUGCGUAGGCUUGUUAUUUGAUUUGAUCCUGCUUUAAUACAUGGUCUUGCAAAGAUGCAAUUUUCCCAAGCUUUAAAUUUGCUGGGCUGGUUCGUGUUUUCGACCUCCUUACCUUUCAUAGGUUUCACGGUACUGUUCGUAGAUGGUGAAAAUUGUAGGUUUAUUUACAGUUUUUUCAUGUCAAUAUAUGAUAUAUCUAUGGGGGUUGUCAAUUUUGCCUUUAGGGAGCAAUAUUAGCAUAUCAACAAGAAGUUAAAUUAGAUAUUGAGAUGUCGCCUUCAAGAUGGAAUCGUUUACUUCUUCAUUGUAUACUUUAUCUAUUUUGUACUUCUUUGUAGACUUUAAACAUCAAUUUCUUCAAGCUUUUAUUCAACUAAAGGAAUACUUUUACCUAUUUCGUCGAAGUGCAAAAACAUGAUAGAUUUGAGAAUCAAGAUUGCAAAAGUGUAAUUCUGCUUUUCUUUGGUGAUAUCGGUCCAGUAAUAUUAUAAAAAUCCAGGAUAGGUGGUACAAAAGAUGCUCAGUUAGGAAAUCAUUGUAGAGGCUUUUGGCUCCACACUUUUGUACUUUGUCAUCAAGAUGCAUAACCCCUACCCGUAAUUGGCCAGAAUUUGACUCAGAUGAUGAAUUUUUGUCGCAUUAAUUUUUUUUGUUUUUUCCGUGUUGUAAACCUUAUGGAUUCUCUUAAACAUUCUCCUAGGUGAUACAAACAAUAAAGACAACAUUGAUGUCAUAUUGGAGAUCGUAGUAAAGGGCUAAAGGCUAUCAUGUUCUGAGACCCUUUUUUUGUGUUCACUAGUGAUCCAUUGAUUGUGAGAAAUGAGUAUGGCACCACCUCAACCCAUCAAUUGGUUUGAUAAAGAUGUUAUGGUAGUUUGCUUCACCUACUGCUUGAAGCUAUAUAAACAUGUGUGGGUUUUGGUUUUGGACCAGCUCAUUCGCGAUUAAAAGGUGCUUUUACUUGCUUGUGUGGAACUUUUGAUCUGAGUUUCCUCUUUAAGUUUACACAAAUGAUAACUUGUAUCCAACCAAAAACCUUAAUAAGAUCUCUUGAAUGAUUUCUUAGCCUUUUUUUGCUCUUAGAGGAUCUAGGGACUCCUCCAAUUGAUUGCUUGCCUCUUAAGAAGGAUCCUAGAAAGGAGCUCGUCAAGAGCAGACUAAGAUAACGCAUAUCUUUGAAAGAAGCUGAUGAUCGUAGCAGUCUUUUACUAACGAUAACUCACAUCUUUACUCAACUGAGACGCAACACCAAAGCUAAAUCUGUCUUUUUAUGAUAAUCAAUAAGCCCUGAGGAUUUGAGUGCUUAUGCAGCUAUAUAUGGGAACUGCUAUUCUUUGCAAGAAAAUCAACUAUAUUAUAAGCUUCUAAUUUCUUAGCAGCUUUCUCUUGGUAAAUUCAAACUUUCAUAGCCAAACUUGCUUGCAAUUGGUUGAUUACUGAGAAGCAUGAUUAUUGGACUAACAUUACAGACUGCAACUUAUCUUAAAAGUUUGUUGUGGACACAGCAUAUCCCCUGAAAGGGGAGUGGUGCUGUAACCUGUGAGGUUUCAGUGGAUAUGUUUCUUCUUAUUUAUUCAUCUUUUCCCCAUCAAUGAAGGAAUAAUAUAAGCGAACAGUAGCAUAGUGGUUGUAAGCAUUUGCAGCUACGUUGUUAGAAUUGUAGGGUCACACGCAGGCAAGAGGCAACACAGCAAUUUUAGAAGUCACUUUGUUCAUUUAAAUAUGGCAACUAAAGCAAGACCUAGGCAUGAAGUUUGGCUUGAACAAUAUUCUAGAGUUUUAGCUGGCGUAAACCUUGUUUUGCUAUGAUACAUAGAAUUGGUCUUACCUUCUUGACACAUGAAGUAGUGACUUGGUCAGUAUGGGGAACUUGAAGAUUGUCAUGCAGAAGCUACUUUCUAAGUUAUCUUGAACUUAAAGAUUGAGCAUCUCCAGUGAAGGAUCAACAUUGCGGUUAAGAUGUAUGAAGAAAGGAUUAUGUGCCUGCUUGUUAUCACUGAGUUUGUUGUGGUCUGUCUCUGAACAGCCAGCCAAGAUACUUAAUAUACUGCACUAACAAGUUCUAGUCCUUGGAUGUCAAAAAAAAAAAAAAAAAAAAAAAAAAAAAAAAAACAA